UCCUCUUCUACAGCGCCUUCUAUCUGCACUCUCUAUGCCCCUCCCCCAAUCCCCUAAGUUCUAGAACCAUGGCAGGCAUUCACAGAUGGAGUUUCCGAGAUCCCCAGGCCGUUUUUGUUUCCUCAGUGCUACUCUCCCCUAAAAUGUUCUACAAGGACGAAUGGACUAAUUGGGAAAACACCACCACCUAUUUCUCAUUCAUCUCUCAGGACACGCAUAUUGGACCCAGAACAGUGCCUGGAACAAGCUGGAAGUAAUCCUCUCUAUUCUGAGUGCCCACAGCCCUCCAUCUGUACUUUUCUUGUGGCACAUUUCCCUCUCUACCGCAGAUCCUGGAUGUUAAUGCACGUGGUCUAUCUCCUCCCUAGAAGGUGUUUAAUAAACACGCCUAGUUUCAACAUUGCCCUAAGAGAUGAGAAGAGAGAUUGUAAUGAUGAUGGCAAUGAUGACGAUGACAAGUUGAACCACAACAAUGACUAGACCAAGAGCUCAGGGAAGAAAAGGAAGGACAUUGACUUUUUACUCAUCAUUGUAACCCUGGCACCUAGUGUAGUGACUGUCCCAUAAUUAGUGCUCAAUGAAAGGCUGUUGAAUGAAUGAUGUUGAUGGUGAUGAUGCUGUCUUUUGAAAUCUCUCUGUGACACUCAACAUGGAGGAGGUGACACUUGCUCCUUGAAACAAAAGAUACAGGUCAAGCAUGUGAAGUUCUGUCUGUGUCUUGCCAAAAGGAAGAGGAUUUCCUUCUUGCACUUUCUUCCCCUCCCAUUUAAACAAUGUCCACAAGCUGGGAGAAGGUAUAUAAACAUAUAGAUUGUGUUUGCACACCCAGCUCUGGGUUGAUAAUGGCCACAUUUCCUGCCUUAUGAAAACUGUCAGAUUCUCUGUUGUCAAAGCUCUCUUUGUCCCAGAAUGACAUUCAUUAACCUUCCCCUGAGCUGAGAGGGUGCCCAGGGGCCUCGCCCUGUAUUGUUGGCCUUUGUCUAUCUCUUGUCAAUCUUUUCCCACAGCAGUUCAGAAGAGGCAGUGAGGAGUUCCUUGAAAAUCGUGUGUAAGGCUAAUUCUUGAGAAGGGAGCCGAUUGCCUAAAGGUAAGCUUGAUUUUUUUCAUUACCCCAUAAAAGAAUCAAGUGAGUCAAGAAACUGCUAU